GGAUGAACGCUAGCGGGAGGCUUAAUACAUGCAAGUCGAGGGGCAGCAUAGGACUUCGGUUCUGAUGGCGACCGGCGCACGGGUGAGUAACGCGUACACUACCUACCUUUAACAGAGGGAUAGCCCCGGGAAACUGGGAUUAAUACCACAUAGUAUUGCGCACCUCACUUUUAUGCAAUUAAAGCUCUGGCGGUUAAAGAUGGGUGUGCGUUAGAUUAGCUAGUUGGUAAGGUAAUGGCUUACCAAGGCUACGAUCUAUAGGGGGCGUGAGAGCGUGGAUCCCCACACGGGUACUGAGACACGGACCCGACUCCUACGGGAGCAGCAGUAAGGAAUAUUGGACAAUGGGCGCAAGCCUGAUCCAGCCAUCCCGCGUGAAGGAUGACGGCCCUAUGGGUUGUAAACUUCUUUUAUUAGGGAAGAAACCUCUUCAUUUAUGAAGAGCUGACGGUACCUAAAGAAUAAGCACCGGCUAACUCCGUGCCAGCAGCCGCGGUAAUACGGAGGGUGCAAGCGUUAUCUGGAAUCACUGGGCUUAAAGGGUCCGCAGGCGGUUAAUUAAGUCAGAGGUGAAAUCCCAUAGCUCAACUAUGGAACUGCCUUUGAUACUGUUUGACUUGAGUCAUAUGGAAGUAGAUAGAAUGUGUAGUGUAGCGGUGAAAUGCAUAGAUAUUACACAGAAUACCGAUUGCGAAGGCAGUCUACUACGUAUGUACUGACGCUGAGGGACGAAAGCGUGGGGAGCGAACAGGAUUAGAUACCCUGGUAGUCCACGCCGUAAACGAUGGAUACUAGUUGUUGGGAUUUAUCUCAGUGACUAAGCGAAAGUGAUAAGUAUCCCACCUGGGGAGUACGGUCGCAAGACUGAAACUCAAAGGAAUUGACGGGGGCCCGCACAAGCGGUGGAGCAUGUGGUUUAAUUCGAUGAUACGCGAGGAACCUUACCAGGGCUUAAAUGUAGUCUGACAGCUUUAGAGAUAGAGUUUUCUUCGGACAGGUGACAAGGUGCUGCAUGGUUGUCGUCAGCUCGUGCCGUGAGGUGUCAGGUUAAGUCCUAUAACGAGCGCAACCCCUGUCGUUAGUUGCCAGCAUGUUAUGAUGGGGACUCUAACGAGACUGCCUACGCAAGUAGAGAGGAAGGUGGGGAUGACGUCAAAUCAUCACGGCCCUUACGUCCUGGGCCACACACGUGCUACAAUGGUAUGGACAAUGAGCAGCCAUCUGGCAACAGAGCGCGAAUCUACAAACCAUAUCACAGUUCGGAUCGGAGUCUGCAACUCGACUCCGUGAAGCUGGAACCGCUAGUAAUCGGAUAUCAGCCAUGAUCCGGUGAAUACGUUCCCGG
rnacentral:rRNA from 1 species